CUUGAAAAUGACUUGAAAUCCAGUAUUACCAAAUUAUAAAACCUUCAACUCACUUAACAGGUUAAACCUUAAAAUGAAAUCCUUAACAAAUGAGAAAAUCAAUUAAAGGAAACUUAUGACCAAAAUGUUUUUUAAAAAAUAUUAUACACCAAUCAUCUGAACAUCCUACCUAGCAAGUUGUGAUAUUUUUUUUUUUUUUGUUUUGGUAUAAGCUCCACUUUAAAGAAAAAAAAAUUCAAAGCGUUUCAAAUGAAUUCAUUAUGCCUAGAGUUACAACAGUUAUGUAACAAAAGAUCUAACAAUUCCUAUUAUCUUCUUUUAGGUUAUGAUUAAUUCCAUGUUUUGAACACAAGAUUUGGUUACGUAACAAUUCUACUCCACUAAUCCUUAAGAGCUUUUACUUUUAUACUUUUGGUAAAACUUUAUGCUCCACCAUUUGCUAUGUAAGUUUACUGUUUUUAACAAGAGUAAAAUCCAACAGGAUAAUGGGACAUACUAUAUCAGGUCUUACAAAUAUACACAAAGCUUAAUUUUAGCUUUCUAAAGUACAUCCAACCUGACUGUGGUUUUUUACAACACAACUGCUGUCAUUAUAUGUGAUAAUGUAACUUGGCAGACAAGUAGUUGGAAUGUUCAUUAUGGAACAUUAAAAACUUAAAAAGAAAAAUGCCCAGGACAUUAUCUACUUAAGAUAAUGGUUUUAUUUUUUAAAAGUUUUA